CAGAGAGCUCUAUUAGAAUUUUGUCUAGUAGGUUUUUUGACUUUAGUCAGAAAACCCAA
ensembl:snRNA Gm22218 U7 small nuclear RNA